GACGAACCGUGCGAACGUUGUUCGGAAUCACUGGGCUUAAAGGGCGCGUAGGCGGGUGAUCAAGUCCGGGGUGAAAUCCUCCAGCUCAACUGGAGAAUGGCCUUGGAUACUGGUCGCCUUGAGUGAGGUAGGGGCAUGUGGAACUUCCGGUGGAGCGGUGAAAUGCGUAGAUAUCGGAAGGAACGCCGGUGGCGAAAGCGACGUGCUGGACCUCUUCUGACGCUGAGGCGCGAAAGCCAGGGGAGCAAACGGG
rnacentral:rRNA from 1 species